CCCCGUGACGCUGAUGUGCUCCAGUAGCUCGGCGAAAUACUCAUCAUGCUGAGGCAGAGGUCUUUAGUGCUGUACGAUGAGCAUUUCUUUCUCUGCAGCCCAGAUGUGCUGUUGAUUCCCGCAGGAGGAUGAUGGAAGAGAGAGGCUGAGACACUUUGAUUCCCUUCUUGCAUAUUCAUGUAUGGAAUUCAGACACUUCAAUUAUUCAGCUGGAUGGAUUUUCUUAAGGAACUGUCCCAUGAACUGUCCACCUUGAACUGAAGGAAACGCUUGAGCUACUUUGCUGUAGAGCCACAAUCUGUGCAGCGAGGAGGCAGAAUCACACAGCGCACUGAGCCCAGCCUUUCACAAACAGCUGCUUGUAGUGCCACUAGAUGUAUUUUGGUGGGAAGGGGGUGGAAGCUGCUCCCUGCACUUCUCAAUGUGGCAGAAAGUGUUACCAGUUCAACAUUAAUGCAUGUGUCUUACUUUCCAUUACCCGUCACUUUAUCAUUGUGUGUAUAUCAGUGAGAAACUGAUGCUGAAUUUAAAUUACAUCCUGUUGUUUAUGUCUGUUGCUUGAGUGCGUCGUGAGGAAAUUUUCUGAAAGGGUAAUUUGUGUAUUUCCUCCCUUAAUUUCAAAAGAUUUUUUCCCCCUAAUGACUGAAUCAUAACAAAAGGAAUAAUGGUAGCACUUUACAGUAAGGUUCAAUUUGUUAACAUCAUUCAUUCAUAUUAUAGGAACUGACUGAUAUAUAUAUAAUUUAUAACACUGUACUUUGUGUUGUAUUAACUUGGCAUUAAAUUACAGAAAAAUGGUUAAUGCUUCUACAUGAGCAUUUCUAAUAGACUGACAACAAAUUUGCCAUCUUUCUCUCUUUUUCUCCCCACAAUGCACAACUGUUAUCAACAUUGGUAAUAAAAUGUUUC
ensembl:lncRNA